CAGUCGCCGCGGGAAUACAGAGGGUGCGAGCGUUAAUCGGAUUUACUGGGCGUAAAGCGUGCGUAGGCGGCUAAUUGAGUCGGAUGUGAAAUCCCCGAGCUUAACUUGGGAAUUGCAUUCGAUACUGGUUAGCUAGAGUGUGGGAGAGGAUGGUAGAAUUCCAGGUGUAGCGGUGAAAUGCGUAGAGAUCUGGAGGAAUACCGAUGGCGAAGGCAGCCAUCUGGCCUAACACUGACGCUGAGGUACGAAAGCAUGGGGAGCAAACAGGAUUAGAUACCCGCGUAGUCCCUGUCUUAUACAC
rnacentral:rRNA from 1 species